AUUGAACGCUGGCGGCAGGCCUAACACAUGCAAGUCGAACGGUAACAGGAAGAAGCUUGCUUCUUUGCUGACGAGUGGCGGACGGGUGAGUAAUGUCUGGGAAACUGCCUGAUGGAGGGGGAUAACUACUGGAAACGGUAGCUAAUACCGCAUAACGUCGCAAGACCAAAAAGGGGGACCUUCGGGCCUCUUGCCAUCGGAUGUGCCCAGAUGGGAUUAGCUAGUAGGUGGGGUAACGGCUCACCUAGGCGACGAUCCCUAGCUGGUCUGAGAGGAUGACAAGCCGCAGGGGAACAGAGACACGGUCCAGGCUCCGACGGGAGGCACCAGUGGGGAAUGUUGCACAAUGGGCGAAAGCUUGAUGCAGCCGUGCCGAGUGUGUGAAGAAGGCCUUCUGGUUGUAAAGUACUUUCAGCGGGGGGGAAAGGAGUAAGGUUGGUACCCUGGCGCAGUGACGUUACCGGCAGAAGAAGCACAGGCUAACUACGUG
rnacentral:rRNA from 1 species